rnacentral:rRNA from 1 species
CUAGAUAACAUGCAGAUCGUAUGGUCUUGUACCGACGCCAGAUCUUUCAAAUGUCUGCCCUAUCAACUUUUGAUGGUAGUAUCUAGGACUACCAUGGUUGCAACGGGUAACGGGGAAUCAGGGUUCGAUUCCGGAGAGGGAGCCUGAGAAACGGCUACCACAUCUAAGGAAGGCAGCAGGCGCGUAAAUUACCCACUCCCAGCUCGGGGAGGUAGUGACGAAAAAUAACAAUACAGGACUCAUAUCCGAGGCCCUGUAAUUGGAAUGAGUACACUUUAAAUCCUUUAACAAGGACCAAUUGGAGGGCAAGUCUGGUGCCAGCAGCCGCGGUAAUUCCAGCUCCAAUAGCGUAUAUUAAAGUUGUUGCGGUUAAAACGUUCGUAGUUGAACUUGUGCUUCAUACGGGUAGUACAACUUACAAUUGUGGUUAGUACUAUACCUUUAUGUAUGUAAGCGUAUUACCGGUGGAGUUCUUAUAUGUGAUUAAAUACUUGUAUCUUUUCAUA